rnacentral:rRNA from 1 species
GAACGCUGGCGGCGUGCCUAAUACAUGCAAGUCGAACGCACAGCGAAAGGUGCUUGCACCUUUCAAGUGAGUGGCGAACGGGUGAGUAACACGUGGACAACCUGCCUCAAGGCUGGGGAUAACAUUUGGAAACAGAUGCUAAUACCGAAUAAAACUUAGUGUCGCAUGACACAAAGUUAAAAGGCGCUUCGGCGUCACCUAGAGAUGGAUCCGCGGUGCAUUAGUUAGUUGGUGGGGUAAAGGCCUACCAAGACAAUGAUGCAUAGCCGAGUUGAGAGACUGAUCGGCCACAUUGGGACUGAGACACGGCCCAAACUCCUACGGGAGGCUGCAGUAGGGAAUCUUCCACAAUGGGCGAAAGCCUGAUGGAGCAACGCCGCGUGUGUGAUGAAGGCUUUCGGGUCGUAAAGCACUGUUGUAUGGGAAGAACAGCUAGAAUAGGAAAUGAUUUUAGUUUGACGGUACCAUACCAGAAAGGGACGGCUAAAUACGUGCCAGCAGCCGCGGUAAUACGUAUGUCCCGAGCGUUAUCCGGAUUUAUUGGGCGUAAAGCGAGCGCAGACGGUUUAUUAAGUCUGAUGUGAAAGCCCGGAGCUCAACUCCGGAAUGGCAUUGGAAACUGGUUAACUUGAGUGCAGUAGAGGUAAGUGGAACUCCAUGUGUAGCGGUGGAAUGCGUAGAUAUAUGGAAGAACACCAGUGGCGAAGGCGGCUUACUGGACUGCAACUGACGUUGAGGCUCGAAAGUGUGGGUAGCAAACAGGAUUAGAUACCCUGGUAGUCCACACCGUAAACGAUGAACACUAGGUGUUAGGAGGUUUCCGCCUCUUAGUGCCGAAGCUAACGCAUUAAGUGUUCCGCCUGGGGAGUACGACCGCAAGGUUGAAACUCAAAGGAAUUGACGGGGACCCGCACAAGCGGUGGAGCAUGUGGUUUAAUUCGAAGCAACGCGAAGAACCUUACCAGGUCUUGACAUCCUUUGAAGCUUUUAGAGAUAGAAGUGUUCUCUUCGGAGACAAAGUGACAGGUGGUGCAUGGUCGUCGUCAGCUCGUGUCGUGAGAUGUUGGGUUAAGUCCCGCAACGAGCGCAACCCUUAUUGUUAGUUGCCAGCAUUCAGAUGGGCACUCUAGCGAGACUGCCGGUGACAAACCGGAGGAAGGCGGGGACGACGUCAGAUCAUCAUGCCCCUUAUGACCUGGGCUACACACGUGCUACAAUGGCGUAUACAACGAGUUGCCAACCCGCGAGGGUGAGCUAAUCUCUUAAAGUACGUCUCAGUUCGGAUUGUAGUCUGCAACUCGACUACAUGAAGUCGGAAUCGCUAGUAAUCGCGGAUCAGCACGCCGCGGUGAAUACGUUCCCGGGUCUUGUACACACCGCCCGUCACACCAUGGGAGUUUGUAAUGCCCAAAGCCGGUGGCCUAACCUUUUAGGAAGGAGCCGUCUAAGGCAGGACAGAUGACUGGGGUGAAGU